rnacentral:lncRNA from 1 species
UGAGGGAUUCUAAAUAAAAUAUUGAAAAACAUUUAAUAGUAAGAUUUUUAAUUACAUCGGGAAUAUAUAUAAUUUUGUGAUUCUGAAAUUACGAGUUUUGAUGAAAAUAUUUGAAAAAACAAAGACUGGAUUGUCUCGAGGGAUUUCUAAUGCGACCAUACAUGUGAUAUUAAAAUCACACUAUAAUUACAUUCUAAUGCACUUGCAUAAGGUAUCACAUCAUCGGGCUGUGCGUAACUGCGGUUGCAGAUCGGAAUUUAAAACCAAUCUUAGUAUAUAUGAUAAAAAUGGCUCCACUCAUAAAAGAGAACUUGGGUAUUCCACAUUAUUCUAAAUACAUAAUCAUGUCGGCUCUAUAAAUUUCAGUGUAAUGCAUUUACAGUAGAAGUGGUAAAUACACUUUACUUUUGAAGGAUGUCGACACAUAUCUUCAGGACAAUCUGAAUCCCAAAAACAAUAUUUUCCCAGUGCUGUAAGGAAAAAAGAUGAUAAAAUGAUAUAAUUAAAUUAGUAUAAAAUAUUCUUUACAAUGCACCGAAGAAAAUUUGAAAAGGAUAAAAUGGUGUUACCUUCUACUUUUGUUAGAACAAGAAAGAAAGAGAGAAAUAUAAUCACCACAAUAACAAAUUGGACAAUUUUAGCCAUAAUUUAUAAAAAUCACCAUCGCGUCAAUUAACUAUGUUUUUAUGUAUUGUUUGAAUUAUAAAAAUACUUA